GCGUUUGUGGUUUAGUGGUAAAAUCCAUCGUUGCCACGUGACUUAGGUCACAGUUUCGAUGGGCCCCGGGUUCGAUUCCCGGCGAACGCA